GGGCGAUUAGCUCAUUUGGCUAGAGCGCUACAUUGACGUUGUAGAGGUGAUAGGUUCGAAUCCUAUAUCGCCCACCA
rnacentral:tRNA from 2 species